GAAAUUGAGCUAGGGCUGAAUUGAGGGUGGUCCAGAGACUCAGAAGAUGGAACAAGGACCAUCAUUCAUCAAUAAUUGCGAUAAAUUAGCCAAAUCUUGUUCUGGAACUGAAAAAACAGCAAAGAAUUUGGAGAAUUGACAGGAUUUGACACUUCACCCCAAGUGCACUAGCUAGAUACACUGAUUUUCACUAUAAUUUGUCUUCCAUCAAUUAAAUAUGCUUAGUGUUGUAUGUCUUUUGUAAUGAGGAACCUAGUUGUUUGUCAUUGACAAUGCAUGCACAUGUGAGGAAUCAACAUGCAACCAUUCAAAUCUGGAGUCAGAUGUGAAAUGUCAGUUUAACACUUGGGAGCAGUGUGCCUAAUGGGAAAAGGCAUAUGGAGGUUGUUCCGGAGUGUAUUCAUUAAGGAUUCCUUUG